rnacentral:piRNA from 1 species
AUGGCGGAGAAUCACUGAGAGCU